CUACCUUCUUUCUUGCCACGUGCU
rnacentral:siRNA from 1 species